UCUUGAUAUUGCUAAUGCCGGGGGAGGUAAGCUAACGAGAAAGUAGGGAAAAGGAAGGUUUUAGAGUUCACCUCCACUCCUUCCCCUGGCUAACACUCUUUACACUCUUCUGCCUUCCCUUGAGAUAAUUAAAAUAGACUGUACACCGGCCCUAGUCGGUGCCCAUUCCCCCUAACUCUUCACUCAACUACGUGUGUAGUCCGAGGGAGUGAGGACCCCGGGUCCAAGAGCUCAAUCCCGGCCCCGCCCCGUCGGCCCAGGCCCCGGGGCUGGGAGGAGAGGAUGCCUUCGGAGGCGCAGAAUCCGAAAAUUUUUCUGCAUCCCUUUAAGUCUAUGUGUGUGAUUUCAUGUGAGAUGGAUUUCUUGAAGACAGCUUGCCAAUGGGUCUUGGAAUUUAAUCGACCUUACUACCCUGUGCCAUUUAAUUGGGGCAUUUGGCCUGUUUACCUUCAAGAAGCUGGGCAGAGAAAUCGAGCUGCAAAAUGACCUACAGAUAUUACAGUUUUAUUCUUGGAAAAUGGAGGUUGUCUAUUAGUGUGAUGGUAACAACCAACUAAUAAAAUUUGGAGACUAGACUGCUUGUCAUGUCUGGGGUUCACUGGAAAUCAAUGAUUCACUGGAACAAUUCUCCUGUCAAAAAAAAUGUGAGGUUUGUAACUUGCCCUAAGUAUAACAAGGGAUAUAUUUUAACAAAGGAUGUAUUUUUUCUUAAGAAGCAACCAUUUCUCAGCUUAUACAUAAUAGCAAUAAUAAAGUCUUUGACCCUA
rnacentral:lncRNA from 1 species